rnacentral:rRNA from 1 species
GAUGAACUCUGGCGGCGUGCUUAACACAUGCAAGUCGAACGGAAAGGCUCCUGCUUGCAGGGGUACUCGAGUGGCGAACGGGUGAGUAACACGUGGGUGAUCUGCCCUGCACUUCGGGAUAAGCCUGGGAAACUGGGUCUAAUACCGGAUAGGACGAUGGUUUGGAUGCCAUUGUGGAAAGUUUUUUCGGUGUGGGAUGAGCUCGCGGCCUAUCAGCUUGUUGGUGGGGUAAUGGCCUACCAAGGCGUCGACGGGUAGCCGGCCUGAGAGGGUGUACGGCCACAUUGGGACUGAGAUACGGCCCAGACUCCUACGGGAGGCAGCAGUGGGGAAUAUUGCACAAUGGGCGCAAGCCUGAUGCAGCGACGCCGCGUGGGGGAUGACGGCCUUCGGGUUGUAAACUCCUUUCGCUAGGGACGAAGCGCAAGUGACGGUACCUGGAGAAGAAGCACCGGCUAACUACGUG